rnacentral:rRNA from 1 species
CCUACGGGAGGCAGCAGUCGAGAAUCUUUCACAAUGGGGGAAACCCUGAUGCUGCGACGCCGCGUGGGGGAAUGAAGGUCUUCGGAUUGUAAACCCCUUUCAUGUGGGAGCAAAUUAAAAAGAUAGUACCACAAGAGGAAGAGACGGCUAACUCUGUGCCCGCAGCCGUGGUAAUAGAGAGGUUUCAAGCGUUGUUCGGAAUCACUGGGCGUAAAGUGUGCGUAGGCUGUUUCGUAAGUCGUGUGUGAAAGGCGCGGGCUCAACCCGGGAACGGCACAUGAUACUGCGAAGCGAGAGUAAUGGAGAGGGAAGCGGAAUUCUCGGUGUAGCGGUGAAAUGCGUAGAUAUCGGGAGGAACACUCGUGGCGAAGGCGGGUUCCUGGACAUUAACUGACGCUGAGGCACGAAGGCGAGGGGAGCAAAAAGGAUUAGAUACCCCGGUAGUC